CUAAUAGAGCGAAAAUGAAAACAGAAAUCCCGCCAAACGUUGAUCGUAGAUCUCACAGAAAUAAUAGACUCAAGUAGUCGGCUGAGACGACAGUGUUAUGUGUGUGAAACGAUAGGCGCAGUAAAUGAUAAGGAAGUGAAAUGAAAAUGAGGCAAUCGGUACGCGUGGGUAUGCUCGCUGGCAAAAUCAAUGCCAGCGAGAGGCGAGAUGCGAGAUGCGAGAUGCGAGAGGCGAGAGGAUCGCAUCUGAACACGAGGAGAAGUGAGGCGAACGGUAAAAUGUACAAGUAGGUGGACGAGUCGCAAAGCGUACUCCAUAAGGGAACUUUCAUGAAACGACGGCCAUCUUGGAGAUAGAGAAGCAUCAAGUACCAGUGAAUGCAACACAUGCAGAAUUUCUGCCGGACAUUCGUUGAUUAAUCAGGUUUAACUUAUCGCAACAAUACUACGAGAGGGUAACUUACGUCGAAGAGAUAAAUCAGACUCGGUUGGUCCCGAAAUGUACUUGCAAACACAAAAUAUCCAAAGAGCGCAACGAUGUACUACGAUGUACAACACUGUUGUGUGACAACGACGUGGACAUCGGAUCGAUGCGAUUGGCGAAUGAUGCUCGACUAUGUUCGGGCGACAUCGUGAGUCGCGAGGCCGACCGUUCACGACCGACGCCGAGUAUGCACGAGUUUAACCGAUCUACCUACCAGACGCAUUUCCGGCAGAUACAAAAAGACUUUAACAUAUGUGACUCGUGCCGGCUUCCAUGUUACACUCAAAUUUCAACGAUACGUUAAGGUUUCUCAACGCGAUAACUAAUAUCUCUAUUUUGAAAAUAAUUGUGAUUCGUUUACAGAACAAACCGAGUUAUAUUAGACACGUACACGGUGGAAAGCUGCGAACAUUAUUUCAGAUAUACAUAUACAAGUUGCCACGAUGAUCUAAUUUAAAAUUUAUGAUAUUACGAAGGAAUUUCAUAAUCGAAUUAUAGAUUCUACUAUUUACUUGGGGAAUUUAACUGUACGGAGCAUAAUAUUUACACGGAGUCGUACCCUAUUGGCGGUGUAGCAUGUUACAGAACCCGAUAACCUCGUUCGUUGGUCGCACGAAGGAAAAUUACCAAUAUCCCCACACGAAACGAAGAAAAAUAAUAAUUGAGUCGAAAAACGAUCACACGUGGAGCACCAUUCUACGACCGAAACAGGAUUUUUGUCCGCGACACGAUUCACAAGAACGACGUACGUGUCCGAACUGAAGCGACCACGGUAUCAUACAUAAUUUAUCACAGAAACUCUACGUACCUGUCCCCAAAUCAAAUUACUUAUUAACCGCACGACACCGCACUUGAUCAGAGUCACCAAAUUCCAAAGCAUAUUCUCGCCGAGGCCCAAGAACGAUAUUAAUUACGGCGUUCACGAGGCUUCAAGAUAAACAUGUAAACUCCGAGCGAGGCCAGUUGAUGACCUCUGUAUAUUAUCCUAGGUGGCACCACGACACAAGUCCAUCCAGAGAGGGUAACUACACCGUUAUCGGCAAAAGUCUUUACGAGCAGGCGAGACACGCGUGAUAAAAACAGUAGCCGCGAAAAUUAAAAGAAACCAUGCAAACGUCCGCUUACCUGUGUAGUCGAGGUGAACGUCAUCGGCUUACAAUCGGUCUGCAUAGGGCCGAGACAUUUCAUAGUCGCGGACGGGAUCGGAUCAGCUGCGAACGUCCAUAAUUCUCUGCAAGACUGCUGAAAAAAGAUUCGAUCACUCGGUUACGUCCGAACACGCGCGAAUCUGGGCAAGGAAACCCGGUCUUGUCAGAAUUCCGAGAAAAAAAGCUAACGCCACCCCCGCGUUACAUUUCGCCAAGCAUCGCAGGUGCACCGCCGAGGCUUUCGGAGCUGGGCAAGUGGUACCCGGUCGAGGUCACGUCGAUAAUUCGGUAUAACCGUUGUUUCCCCAUGCAGAAGGCCACGUGACGCGACUGGACCUGCGCCAAUGGCGUUACGGGGCUGAGAAACUCGGUGAUCGAAGGAUUAACAGGAUCAAUGCGACGGGCAGUGAAUAAAUUCGAUCCCGACGUACCUGCGACCCACGGAUCAGAUUAUUGCGCUGGCCUUUCAACACGUUUGUCAAGACGGACGUGGUUCGAGCGGCAUAACGACAGAUCAGACACUGUACGAUACCUGCGCCCAUCUUAUCCGGAUAGGAUAUGAGCAGCUUACCGAGAACAUUUGAUAUAACGGCCGCGUCCCGUCGUAUCGUGCAGCGCUUGCGCCGUUUCGCGACAAACUAACCCCGUGUUCGAGACCGCGUGAUUGUCGUUACUAUUUGAUCUCAAUUAACGAACAAAGGGCAUUGUUUGUCGAAGACAGAGCGUGCCCGAGGACCGCGUCAGCCGACAAGGGUCUCGCGAUAAAGAAAAUCAACUAUUUCACGUAUGUAAGGCAACGGGGCGUGAUUCACGGAUUAAUUAUGUAAGCUUACAAGUUGGAAACCGUCCAUUGAUUACAGUCGAUCGCGUCUGUCCUUAUUUUCAGUGAGCGGCAGCCGCAGGAGGCACGCGCAUCGCGUAAAGUUCGCGAUCUGCGAUUCUUGAUCGGGUCUCGCUCGCUUCCUGUUCUCCUUAAACGAUAGCGCCUGACGUACGACGAGAAUGGACAAUCGCCGCAAGAACAAUCUGCAGUCGCUGAAUAACGCGCGGACAAUUUCAAUUUACGCGGUAUUCAGACCACGGUUAAUAUUGGCCCCAAACCAAGGUCCGAGUCUUGCCUGAAUCUCGGUGUAUAACAGGGCAAGCUAAAAAUAUUGUUCGCCAUUCAGGUAUCGCAAAUUCGAAAGUGAAAUCGAUCGAGCAGCGUGUUAGUGGCGAACGAAUCGCGAAGAUGUAAAAUUGUCGCGGCAGAAGUUUUCCGAAAUAGUAAAUAAGACCUUUGAAAUGUUUAAAUUGUAAUGUUGUCCGGUCGGUGUUGAGUCUGCGAUAAUGUUAUGCGCGAAUUUUUCGAGAAUAAAGCAGUGCUCGUAUCGAGAUUGUCGGAAAAUCGAAGGUUAGGGAAUCCAUCAAUAAAUUAGUGCGAAAUCUAUUCUGUCCUUUUAAUUAACCGUUCCUAUAAAUAUCAAGGCUCAUGCAUUUCCUAAAUAAACUGGCUCAGGCUAUAAAAGGCACUCGCCGGAAGACUGCGAGCGCUAAAGAGGAACUCGACGACGAUACACUGGAAAAUUUGAGGAGACUCGAGAGCCAACGAUGAUCCUAAUCUACAAAGGCCCCGAAUCCUCUCUUUCAAGAUCGAAUCGUCUCUUUCGGAAUUUGCAAACUGCCAACUCUGCAACUUCUUGCAGCCGAUACACCAAAGACCUCAGCAUCGUUUCCCUCC